GUGUGUGGUACCCUGCUGCAGAGUGGGCAAUCAUUUAUAAUAAAAAAUGAUUGACACAUCUGCAGGUAGAGUACUGCAUGA
rnacentral:pre_miRNA from 1 species